UACGUAGGGUGCGAGCGUUGUCCGGAAUCAUUGGGCGUAAAGAGCGCGUAGGCGGCCAGAUAAGUCCGGUGUGAAAGUCAAAGGCUCAACCUUUGAAUGCCGCUGGAAACUGUCUGGCUAGAGUCCGGGAGGGGCGAGUGGAAUUCCUGGUGUAGCGGUGAAAUGCGCAGAUAUCAGGAGGAACACCAAUGGCGAAGGCAGCUCGCUGGAACGGUACUGACGCUGAGGCGCGAAAGCGUGGGGAGCGAACAGG
rnacentral:rRNA from 1 species